UUCUGGUUUUCAUUAAAUGUUAAACCGGUACAGAAUUGAUUGCGAGUAAAGCAGCUUUAGCAGCUGCAUCUGCCUUACGAUUGUUUUCUCUCUUGACAAAAUGAAAGCUAAUAUCAGCGAAACUGAGAGAGAUAAAAAGGAUGUCAUGUAGAAUCCCUUGAAGCUCCUUUGGAUGAAGCUCCCCCACGAUUGCUUCGACAAGCUGCUGCGAGUCAGAAGCUACAACAAGUUUUUUGAAUCCUCGAUUUGACGCCUGUUGGAUGGCAGAGAAGAGAGCGAUCGCCUUCGCCAUUAAAGGGGAAGAUACCUCUCUCGCCACUGCGUGAUCCUGGAUCUCAGAGUGAUUUGAGUUAUCUACAAAAAUCCAUCCCAAUCCCGCAUCAUGUGAAUCCUCUCGCCACGCUGCAUCUGUGAAACACAAGAUUGCAUCCGAUUCAAAUUCCGGCACAAUUGGUCUUGAAAGCAGAGUCUGGUGUCCCUGAGGUCCAGAUUGUCCAAAUAAUCCAGGGGAAAAGAGGGUUUGAGCCAAUUUCCACCAGUGGUAAGCAAAUCAGAUGUUUAGCCGCUUCAAAACCCAUCUGAAGAUUGGUAAAAGUGAAGGUCGAAAGGGUAUUUUUGAAUGGGGCUUGCUCCCAGAUCUGUGCAGCAAAUAGACAAAGGAAAAACAGAUGAAGACCUGAUUCCUCUGCACUACAAUGUGGGCAAGCAGUUGUAGGGUUGAUGCCUCGAGCUUUCAAGUUGGCACCUAGGGGUUGAGGUGGAACUUGUGUAUGAAGAUUCCGCAAAGUCUUAGCUGCGUAGUAGCCUGUUUUGGUGCUAUAAUCACCAGAUUUCGUGGGAAGCCAGAUAAAUUUAUCCCUAGCAACAAACCUACUUGGUCUGAACUGAAAGAUCUCUGAUUGGUAUUGAGGGAGGAGGACCCAUUGGGGUUACGGAUGAUGAGAGAGAGAUCCAUGGUGCAUUCCAAACCAGGGUAUCAGCUCCAGAACCAAUCGAUCUUCCUAGUUGGGACUAGCAUCAAGAGCAUAGAUUUAUAAAACUAGACAUGAAUCCGAAACGGAAGUGUUUAAACAAAACAUAUUGAUCACUUCGUGGCUUUUCAAACAAAUUAAAAUUGUUACAGAAUCUUAGAUUGAUUAAUAAAAAAAGUGAGAGGAUUACCAAUACUGAAGUAGAGUCAUAAUUGUAAAGAAAUCGAUGAAGCUGUAUGUGUGAAAAAAUUAGUUCGUUCAUGCUCAAAGGUCUAAAUAAAAAAGACACAUACCUUGACACUAAUUUCCAACGAUGUAUUUUACUUGUGAGAAUAAUUUUGUUAUUUCAGCAAUACUAAAGACACAAAAGAAGACAUAUUAAGAAGAUUGUGUAACAUUUUAACCAAGAACAAUGAUUAUAUGAACAAAUUUUGUGAAAGAUUACCUUCAAGUAGAGUAAGAUUUUUGUGCCGAAUUCGAAA
rnacentral:lncRNA from 1 species